rnacentral:rRNA from 1 species
CCAGACUCCUACGGGAGGCAGCAGUGGGGAAUAUUGGACAAUGGGGGAAACCCUGAUCCAGCGACGCCGCGUGAGUGAAGAAGUAUUUCGGUACGUAAAGCUCUAUCAGCAGGAAAGAAAAUGACGGUACCUGACUAAGAAGCCCCGGCUAACUACGUGCCAGCAGCCGCGGUAAUACGUAGGGGGCAAGCGUUAUCCGGAUUUACUGGGUGUAAAGGGAGCGUAGACGGCAGCGCAAGUCUGGAGUGAAAUGCCGGGGCCCAACCCCGGAACUGCUCUGGAAACUGUGAAGCUGGAGUGCAGGAGAGGUAAGCGGAAUUCCUGGUGUAGCGGUGAAAUGCGUAGAUAUCAGGAGGAACACCGGCGGCGAAGGCGGCUUACUGGACUGUAACUGACGUUGAGGCUCGAAGGCGUGGGGAGCAAACAGGAUUAGAUACCCGAGUA